CCUACGGGGGGCAGCAGUGAGGAAUAUUGGUCAAUGGCCGGAAGGCUGAACCAGCCAUGCCGCGUGAAGGUCAGUGCCCUAUGGGCGUUAAACUUCUUUUGUGCGGGAGCAAUAAUGGUCACGUGUGGCCAGACGAGAGUACCGUACGAAUAAGAAUCGGCUAACUCCGUGCCAGCAGCCGCGGAAAUACGGGGGAUGCAAGCGUUAUCCGGAUUUAUUGGGUUUAAAGGGUGCGUAGGCGGUGAGGUAAGUCAGCGGUGAAAUGCCCCCGCUCAACGGGGUGAAGUGCCAUUGAUACUGCCUGGCUGGAAUGCGGAGGCCGUGGGAGGAAUGCGUGGUGUAGCGGUGAAAUGCAUAGAUAUCACACAGAACACCGAUUGCGAAGGCAUCUCACGAAUCCGCGAUUGACGCUGAUGCACGAAAGCGUGGGUAUCAAACAGGAUUAGAUACCCGAGUAGUC
rnacentral:rRNA from 1 species